rnacentral:rRNA from 1 species
GCGAAAGCGUUAAGUGUUCCACCUGGGGAGUACGCCGGCAACGGUGAAACUCAAAGGAAUUGACGGGGGCCCGCACAAGCGGAGGAACAUGUGGUUUAAUCCGAUGAUACGCGAGGAACCUUACCCGGGCUCAAACGGCAGAGGAAAGUUUUUGAAAGGAGGCUGCUCUUAGGAGUCUCUGCCGAGGUGCUGCAUGGUUGUCGUCAGCUCGUGCCGUGAGGUGUCGGCUUAAGUGCCAUAACGAGCGCAACCCCUACCGCCAGUUGCCAUCAGGUAAAGCUGGGGACUCUGGCGGGACUGCCGGCGCAAGCUGUGAGGAAGGCGGGGAUGACGUCAAAUCAGCACGGCCCUUACGUCCGGGGCGACACACGUGUUACAAUGGCAGGUACAGCGGGAAGCCACCGAGCGAUCGGGAGCAGAACCCGAAAACCUGUCUCAGUUCGGAUUGGAGUCUGCAACUCGACUCCAUGAAGCUGGAUUCGCUAGUAAUCGCGCAUCAGCCAUGGCGCGGUGAAUACGUUCCCGGGCCUUGUACACACCGCCCGUC